rnacentral:rRNA from 1 species
GACGAACGCUGGCGGCGUGCCUAAUACAUGCAAGUUGAGCGCUGAAGGUUGGUACUUGUACCGACUGGAUGAGCAGCGAACGGGUGAGUAACGCGUGGGGAAUCUGCCUUUGAGCGGGGGACAACAUUUGGAAACGAAUGCUAAUACCGCAUAAAAACUUUAAACACAAGUUUUAAGUUUGAAAGAUGCAAUUGCAUCACUCAAAGAUGAUCCCGCGUUGUAUUAGCUAGUUGGUGAGGUAAAGGCUCACCAAGGCGAUGAUACAUAGCCGACCGGGGAGGGUGAUCGGCCACAUUGGGACUGAGACACGGCCCAAACGCCUACGGGAGGCAGCAGUAGGGAAUCUUCGGCAAUGGACGAAAGUCUGACCGAGCAACGCCGCGUGAGUGAAGAAGGUUUUCGGAUCGUAAAACUCUGUUGGUAGAGAAGAACGUUGGUGAGAGUGGAAAGCUCAUCAAGUGACGGUAACUACCCAGAAAGGGACGGCUAACUACGUGCCAGCCGCCGCCGUAA